rnacentral:rRNA from 1 species
GGCCUCUGAAGACGGGCGACCCGGCCACACGUGGGAAAUGUAGACACGGCUCCAGAACUCCUACGGGGAAGGCUAGCAAGUGGGGAAAUUAUUGCACUAAGUGGCGAAAGCCUGAUGCAGUAACCCCGCGUGAGGGAUGACGGCCCCUCGGGUUGCUAAACCUCGCUCAAGCAGGGAAGAAGCGAAAGUGACGGUACCUGCAGAAAGAAGCCCUGGCUAACUACGUUCCAGCAGCACGCGGUAAUACGUAGGGCGCAAGCGUUGUCCGGAAUUAUUGGGCGUAAAGAGCUCGUAGGCGGCUUGUCACCUCGUUGUAAAAGCCCAGGGGCUUAACCCCGGGUCUGCAAUCGAUACGGGCAGGCUAGAGUGUGGUAGGGGAGAUCGGAAUUUCCUGCUCUAGCGGUGAAAUGCGCAUGAUAUCAGGAGGAACACCGGUGGCGAAGGCGGAUCUCUGGGCCAUUCCUGACGUCUGAGGAGCGAAAGCGUGGGGAGCUGAACAGAUAUUAGAUACCCUGGUAGUCCACUGCCAGUAUACGGUGGGAACUAGGUGAUUGGCGACAUUCCACGUCGUCGGUGCCGCAGCUAACGCUAUUAAGUUCCCCGCCUGGGGAGUACGG